CACAUGCAAGUCGAACGGCAGCACAGAGGAGCUUGCUCCUUGGGUGGCGAGUGGCGGACGGGUGAGGAAUACAUCGGAAUCUACUCUGUCGUGGGGGAUAACGUAGGGAAACUUACGCUAAUACCGCAUACGACCUACGGGUGAAAGCAGGGGAUCUUCGGACCUUGCGCGAUUGAAUGAGCCGAUGUCGGAUUAGCUAGUUGGCGGGGUAAAGGCCCACCAAGGCGACGAUCCGUAGCUGGUCUGAGAGGAUGAUCAGCCACACUGGAACUGAGACACGGUCCAGACUCCUACGGGAGGCAGCAGUGGGGAAUAUUGGACAAUGGGCGCAAGCCUGAUCCAGCCAUACCGCGUGGGUGAAGAAGGCCUUCUGGUUGUAAAGCCCUUAUGUUGGGAAACAAAUCCA
rnacentral:rRNA from 1 species